rfam:Baudoinia panamericana TAMH 10762 unplaced genomic scaffold BATCOscaffold_1, whole genome shotgun sequence.
GGCGUUGUAGCAAAGUGGUUACUGCGAUUGACUAGAAUCUUGUCUUGAUCAAUCAGGUCGGGCAUUUGCUAUCAAUUCCCUUCGGGGGCGUAGGUUCGAGUCCUGCCAACGUCG